ACUGUGAACAUCAGGAAGCAGACCUACCAAGAACACCUCACCCGGGGGAGCAGAGAUAAAGAUAACCAAGAAGCUAUUCCUGCCCUUGAGGAACCCACACUCCACUCAGCCUUGAACUCGAGGUACAGAACAGACUGGCUUCACACUCUCCAUCUACAGCCUUUACCUCCCUAGUGCUGGGAUCACAGAGGCUGGAGAUGUCUACAGAGUGCUUGCCACCUAGCAUUUACGAAGCCCUGGGUUUGAUCCCCAGCAGCACACGAAAACAGGUAUGGUGGCACACACCUGUAUUCCAAGCACUCCGGAGGCAGAAAGUUCAGUGUCUUCCUUGGCUGCAUAGUAAGCUCAAGAUCAGUCUCAAAUAGAUCAGGCCAUAUCUUAAGAAUAAAUAUUAAGAAAAUUAGCCAUAUGAUAUGUAGGUAUUCAAGAGA